CAAUAAACUGCCUGGCAUCAGACUCUCUAGAAGCUUGAUCCAGAACAACUAACAACCCUGUCCAGACCCCAUCUCCAAUGCACACUCAGAAGAGAGCCAUGCCUUUGAAUGGAGAAAAAAUGGACUGCCCCUUUUCUAUAGCAGAAUGGGUUAAAACAAGCACUCCAAGGAAAAUAGACUUUUGAUAUCUUAUUCACGGUAUUCCCAGAGCCUCAGAGGGGGUAAUAUAGAUGUUCCAUUUA